UUUUCGUUUAUAAAAAAAAAAAUGGCUGGUUUAACGAGAAAACCAUAUAGUAAUCAAAAUCCGUGUUCAAUUUUGAUAACAUUGUGUGAUGUGUCUUUUUCUCCAAGGUUUAUCGGGAACUUUCCGAACACCGGUAGCCGUUGAGUCCUUCUUUCAUCAAGAGUAAUGCGUAUUUUUAGGCGCAACCUAAGGUCUAAGGCCGAAACAUUCCUAUUGAAUACCAUGUUAUAAUUCUUAUUGUUAUACCAAGCUAGAAUGCAACAAUUGGGUAAGGAGAUCUGGCGGAUGAAUUUCAGACUAACUGAAUUUUGACAUCCAUUAAAAUGAUACAGGAUGGGGUGUGUGACUGUGUGUCCAAGUAACAAGUAACCCUUAAGUUUGUUUUCUUAGCUAAUUUUUGUGUUCCCAUCGAUAAUUCAGCUAUUGACUAUGGGUGUGUUAUUUGCGAUCUAUUUCCCUUGUCAUCAGCUAGGCAAGCUGUUGAACCACAAAACUGUUAGCAGCCCAGGAUGAAACUAUUUCAAAGUAAAAGCACUAAGGAUGUGGACGCUGGAAGAAUUGUGAGCAUCUUAUGUUUGUUGAUUUUCAUCAUGCCAUUUUUCAGUGAGAGGAUACAAUUCUACCCACCAAUCUACCCAUAAGCUUCAACGCUAUCAUCUUAUUAGGAAUGUAAUCCCAACAUUAGGGCUGCGAGCCUUCGUCUUUGUUUCUACGCAAACCACCGUCCAGACGAUUUCUGCAUUUCUAUCCAUCAGACUGCACACAUUAAGUAAUUCCAUCAAUUCAGAAGAACUAUGUUCAAAGCCAACUUCAGGAUUUCGGUCUUGCUGUUUUCUUCCUUCGCCUUCGCCUCAUCGCUGUCCUCAAUCCAUCUAUCCGAUAACGUCAUGACUUGAACCAAAUGACGAAUGACGAAUGACGCCAACGCCAUCGCCAUCGCCAUCGCCAUCACCAUCACCAUCACCAUCGCAUCGCCAUCGCAUCGCCAUCGCAUCGCGAUCGCCAUCAGAAUCACCAUCACCAUCACCGCUGCCGUUGCCGCAGCCGCUGUCUUCGCCUUCGCCAUCGCCAUCGCCAUCGCCGCCGUCUUCGCCUUCGCCAUCCCGUUCACGCUUCACAGAAAAGUCGGUCACAAUUGGAUUUGGUUCAGCAAACAGCCCACGGCGAUGGUGGAUUUCACCGUGGAUCGUCCUCGUGGUAUUGUUUUGUUUUGCAUUGUAUCUUGUAUGUAUAAGUUAACCCGUUGGCUGCCACCCCGUUUGCGUCCCAUUUUUUUUGUAGCUUUUAGGGAACCGGGCGCUGUUCUGCCCCAUGGCCAUGGGGGGGAACAGUCGCCGCGCCUAAAGGCUUUGUGCCUUUAGGCGCCGUAGGCAAUGCACCAGUAGGGACUUCUCUUUGUCGGUGCGGUGAUAGAUUCCUGGGGUGUGCAUUCCCGGAAUGGUUUCUAUUGCCGUGCCAGCCCGGACUUGUCUUCGGACAAGUCCCACCUUGUUCGUGAUCCUUCAGACGCGAUGCGUAGCUAAUGUAGUUUAAGCAACCUACGGGUUGCAUGGCCUGGCAGCCAACGGGUUAACUUAGUUAAGUGUGUAUGUUUGUAUGUAUGUAUGUUUAUGUAUUUUACAUUUAUGUAAUAUUUUGUGUUGUAUAAAAAAGUGGUGGAAUUGUG
rnacentral:lncRNA from 1 species